rnacentral:rRNA from 1 species
UGUAAGCGUAUACCAAAGUUGUUGCAGUUAAAACGCUCGUAGUCGGAAUUUGGCAGUUCCGGAAGUGUGCACGUCGUGUGCGCACUUUGCGGGGACUGCUUUUGUGGUCUUGCGUAGGAUGAGGCACUUUCAUUAGUGAACGUCCUCACGCAACCACUCUUUACUGUGAGAAAAUCAGAGUGCUCAAAGCAGGCAUUUGCCGUGAAUGUAUUAGCAUGGAAUAAUAGAAUAGGACUCGGUUCUAUUUUGUUGGUUUGUUGGGACUGAGGAAUGAUUAAGAGGGACAGUUGGGGGCAUUUGUAUUCCGGCGCUAGAGGUGAAAUUCUUAGAUUGCCGGAAGACAAACUGCUGCGAAAGCGUCUGCCAAGGAUGUUUUCAUUGA